GGACGGUUAGCUCAGUUGGUAGAGCGCUUCAUUUACACUGAAGAUGUCGGGGGUUCAAGUCCCUCACCGUCCA
rnacentral:tRNA from 1 species